rnacentral:lncRNA from 1 species
AAAGGCCGGGGUCCAUCGUGCCCUGGAUCUGGCCGACUGGCAUCCUGUGUUUUCCUAGCUCACAGGCCUGGAGUUUGGGACUGCCCUCUGCCGAGCAACUUUGCUAGGAGGAGACUACACUGACUGCUUGCUGUACCUGACGGUCAUUUCUCCAGCCCUGACUUGACCCCGCGUUUCCUAUUCAACUUUUAGUUCCCGGCCCCAAAGAACUCCCGAAACGUGGAACCUCUAGAGUAGGAACCGACAGGAGCGUGCCUUUGGCGUGGGAAGGGAAAACCAAGGUACCUUGGAGGUGGCGCAUCGCCGCCCCCGCUCCCCGCCCGUCACUCCCUCGCACACUCAGCUCCCGCACCCGCCCCGCGCUUAGCUGGAACUUUCUCCCGCUGGGCUCCGGAGCCUCUGGGCACCGGGGACCGGCUCCUGCCGGGAUCGGAAGAGAACUCCAGGCUGAGGCGAGAGCCGAAAGCCAGAAGAGCGGAGUGCGAGCGGUUUGAAACGCAGUCCCGGCCACCACAACCACUGUCACCGCGCAGUCCGGCGAGCCCCGCCCGACCCGAUCUCGGCGGGCCGUGGUGUUCGCAGCGACGAGUCCCCUCUGCGCCCCGCCCGCCCGGCGCGGCCAGCAGCCUGCGGAGGUGUCAUCUGAAGCUUCCACAGACUCAUGACUCCAAGUGCACGAAAAGUAGCCUGGAUCUCACAGACCUAGAACUACACCAUCUGCCCUGAAGAGAGAUGUAUUUCUGCAAACGCAUCCAAAACCAGGGC